rnacentral:rRNA from 1 species
GAUGAACGCUAGCGGCAGGCCUAACACAUGCAAGUCGAACGGUAACAGAGAAAAGCUUGCUUUGUUUGAUGGCGACCGGCGCACGGGUGAGUAACGCGUAUCCGACCUGCCCAUGACUCGGGCACAGCCGCUCGAAAGAGCGAUUGAUUCCCGAUAUGUCUAUGAAGUAGAUUCCUGGAUGAAAGAUUUAUCGGUCAUGGAUGGGGAUGCGUAGGAUUAGGUAGUAGGCGGGGUAACGGCCCACCUAGCCGACGAUCCUUAGGGGUUCUGAGAGGAAGGUCCCCCACACUGGUACUGAGACACGGACCAG